ACACUAACUGGAGGACCGAACCGACUAAUGUUGAAAAAUUAGCGGAUGACCUGUGGCUGGGGGUGAAAGGCCAAUCAAACCGGGAGAUAGCUGGUUCUCCCCGAAAGCUAUUUAGGUAGCGCCUCGUGAAUUCAUCUCCGGGGGUAGAGCACUGUUUCGGCUAGGGGGCCAUCCCGGCUUACCAACCCGAUGCAAACUGCGAAUACCGGAGAAUGUUAUCACGGGAGACACACGGCGGGUGCUAACGUCCGUCGUGAAGAGGGAAACAACCCAGACCGCCAGCUAAGGUCCCAAAGUCAUGGUUAAGUGGGAAACGAUGUGGGAAGGCCCAGACAGCCAGGAUGUUGGCUUAGAAGCAGCCAUCAUUUAAAGAAAGCGUAAUAGCUCACUGGUCGAGUCGGCCUGCGCGGAAGAUGUAACGGGGCUAAACCAUGCACCGAAGCUGCGGCAGCGACACUGUGUGUUGUUGGGUAGGGGAGCGUUCUGUAAGCCUGCGAAGGUGGCCUGUGAGGGUUGCUGGAGGUAUCAGAAGUGCGAAUGCUGACAUAAGUAACGAUAAAGCGGGUGAAAAGCCCGCUCGCCGGAAGACCAAGGGUUCCUGUCCAACGUUAAUCGGGGCAGGGUGAGUCGACCCCUAAGGCGAGGCCGAAAGGCGUAGUCGAUGGGAAACGGGUUAAUAUUCCCGUACUUGGUGUUACUGCGAAGGGGGGACGGAGAAGGCUAUGUUGGCCGGGCGACGGUUGUCCCGGUUUAAGCGUGUAGGUGUGUGUUCCAGGUAAAUCCGGUUCACUUUAACACUGAGGCGUGACGACGAGGCACUACGGUGCUGAAGCAACAAAUGCCCUGCUUCCAGGAAAAGCCUCUAAGCAUCAGGUAACAUCAAAUCGUACCCCAAACCGACACAGGUGGUCAGGUAGAGAAUACCAAGGCGCUUGAGAGAACUCGGGUGAAGGAACUAGGCAAAAUGGUGCCGUAACUUCGGGAGAAGGCACGCUGACACGUAGGUGAAGUGAUUUACUCAUGGAGCUGAAGUCAGUCGAAGAUACCAGCUGGCUGCAACUGUUUAUUAAAAACACAGCACUGUGCAAACACGAAAGUGGACGUAUACGGUGUGACGCCUGCCCGGUGCCGGAAGGUUAAUUGAUGGGGUCAGCGCAAGCGAAGCUCCUGAUCGAAGCCCCGGUAAACGGCGGCCGUAACUAUAACGGUCCUAAGGUAGCGAAAUUCCUUGUCGGGUAAGUUCCGACCUGCACGAAUGGCGUAAUGAUGGCCAGGCUGUCUCCACCCGAGACUCAGUGAAAUUGAACUCGCUGUGAAGAUGCAGUGUACCCGCGGCAAGACGGAAAGACCCCGUGAACCUUUACUAUAGCUUGACACUGAACAUUGAGCCUUGAUGUGUAGGAUAGGUGGGAGGCUUUGAAGUGUGGACGCCAGUCUGCAUGGAGCCGACCUUGAAAUACCACCCUUUAAUGUUUGAUGUUCUAACGUGGACCCGUUACCCGGGUUGCGGACAGUGUCUGGUGGGUAGUUUGACUGGGGCGGUCUCCUCCUAAAGAGUAACGGAGGAGCACGAAGGUUGGCUAAUCCUGGUCGGACAUCAGGAGGUUAGUGCAAUGGCAUAAGCCAGCUUGACUGCGAGCGUGACGGCGCGAGCAGGUGCGAAAGCAGGUCAUAGUGAUCCGGUGGUUCUGAAUGGAAGGGCCAUCGCUCAACGGAUAAAAGGUACUCCGGGGAUAACAGGCUGAUACCGCCCAAGAGUUCAUAUCGACGGCGGUGUUUGGCACCUCGAUGUCGGCUCAUCACAUCCUGGGGCUGAAGUAGGUCCCAAGGGUAUGGCUGUUCGCCAUUUAAAGUGGUACGCGAGCUGGGUUUAGAACGUCGUGAGACAGUUCGGUCCCUAUCUGCCGUGGGCGCUGGAGAACUGAGGGGGGCUGCUCCUAGUACGAGAGGACCGGAGUGGACGCAUCACUGGUGUUCGGGUUGUCAUGCCAAUGGCACUGCCCGGUAGCUAAAUGCGGAAGAGAUAAGUGCUGAAAGCAUCUAAGCACGAAACUUGCCCCGA
rnacentral:rRNA from 1 species